ensembl:snoRNA
AAGCCAGCCAAUUAGUCUGCUUAUCUGAAUGUGUUUCUGAGGAAAUGAAGAGAAAGCUGGCAAUAAUGCCACGUUACAAGCCUUAAGGACAACUGAGGCCACUAAGACCCCUGAAAAUGGCUACAAUA